GUUACAUUUUUAAUUCCAUUCUGAUUAUAGUCUAUUAUCAGGACAAUGUAUAAUUUGCAUGUUUUUCAUUUGAGAGUAAUGAUACAUAGCCAUUGAUAAGCCAUGUUCCUCUUCCUUUCACCCCAUUAAGCUACAAGUUUGGAUAAACAAGUGUACUUAAUUUCAAUUUCAUAUAUUGUUUGAUGGCACCCCUGAGAAUAAAGAGGCAGGUUUCAUAAGACAAUGGGCUAACUUAAAAUCAGUUUUUGGAUACUGUUUCAUACAAACUGAAUACACUUAACUAGAAAAUGAUAUCUCUACUUUUUCCUUUCAAAGAUAAUGACACUCCUUUUUUCCCCCUCAGUCAUCAUUGCCUAGAAUACCCUACUUCAAACAAUGAAACUCACUUUCAAUCUAUCAUCAUCUUUCACUCUUCAGUGAAACCCCAUGUAGCUUCCAGAUGUGGUUUCAGGAUUUCUCUAUAUUGUUGGAGAGAACAAGAACCUGAGACCUGCCGAACAGCAGGUGCCAAAGAUGCUGCUGUAACACCACAGCCCUCCCAUCUUCCAUCCUCCACUGGCGCUGAGUGGCAGUCCCAUGUGACAGGAAGUGGAGGCAGAGCUGGGCCAGCCCAGGAGCCACGUGCUGGAGCCAGAUACUCUGUUUUUCUACAAAUGGAAAGUUUGUGGCAUCCUUGACUCAAGCAAAUUUUUCAGCACCAUUUUUCAAGAGCGUGUGCUCACUUCACCUCUCUGUAUCGUGUUUUGAUGCUUGUCCUGGAAACCAACCAUGAGCUGUGAUGAAAUCCAGGCAACUGAGUUGUGUUUCAGCCCAAAGCAGCAAAUGGAAUCCAGCUUCAGGACCAUCAUCUGACAUAGGGGAAGAAGACUUACAUAGAAGGCCUAACCAGCACCCAAGAUCAUGCUCAUAGGUGGAGGAGACUUGCUUUGUCUCAGAUGAGACUUUGGACUGUGGACUUUUGAGUUAAUGCUGAAAUGAGUUGAGACUUUGGGGAACUGUUGGGAAGGCAUGAUUGGUUUUAAAUAUGAAUAUAUGAGAUUUGGGAGGGGGUCAGGGGUGGAAUGAUAUGGUUUGGCUCUGUGUCCCCACCCAAAUCUCAUCUUGUAGCUCCCAUAAUCCUCCCAUGUUGUGGGAGGGACCCAGUGGGAGAUGAUUGAAUCAUGAGGGCGGGUCUUUCUCAUGCUGUUCAUGAUCCCAUUCAUGUGAGAAAGACCCAUGUGAUCAUGAAUGGGUCUCACAAGAUCUGAUGGUGUUAAAAAUGGGAGUUUCUCUGCACAAGCUCUCUGCCUGCUGCCAUUCACAAAGGAUGUGACUUGCUUCUCCUUGCCUUCUGCUAUGAUUGUGAGGCCUCCCUAGCCAUGUGGAACUGUGAGUCCAAUUAAACCUCUUUCUUUUGUAAAUU
rnacentral:lncRNA from 10 species